rnacentral:rRNA from 1 species
AUAUCAAUAAGCGGAGGAAAAGAAACCAACAGGGAUUGCCUCAGUAACGGCGAGUGAAGCGGCAACAGCUCAAAUUUGAAAUCUGACCCCGCUGGGGCCCGAGUUGUAAUUUGUAGAGGAUGCUUCGGGCAAGGCUGUGGUCUAAUUCGCUUGGAACAGCGAGUCAGAGAGGGUGAGAGUCCCGUCCAGGAUCGCGAGCCGCGUCCAUGUGAAGCUCCUUCGACGAGUCGAGUUGUUUGGGAAUGCAGCUCUAAAUGGGUGGUAAAUUUCAUCUAAAGCUAAAUAUUGGCCAGAGACCGAUAGCGCACAAGUAGAGUGAUCGAAAGAUGAAAAGCACUUUGAAAAGAGAGUUAAACAGUAUGUGAAAUUGUUGAAAGGGAAGCGCUUGCAAUCAGACUUGUGGGCGGCGGUUCCCCCAGCCCCCCAAGGGCUAGGCUACUCCGCUCGUCCCCAGGCCAGCAUCGGUUUAGGUGGUCGGUCAAAGACCCCGGGAAUGUAUCUACCUCCGGGUCGACUUAUAGCCCGGGGUGCAAUGCGGCCCACCCGGACCGAGGAACGCGCUCCGGCUCGGAUGCUGGCAUAAUGGUUGUAAGCGGCCCGUCUUGAAACACGGACCAAGGAGUCUAACAUCUAUGCGAGUGUUUGGGUGUUAAACCCCUACGCGUAAUGAAAGUGAAUGGAGGUAAGAACCCCGCCUAGGGGCGCAUUAUCGACCGAUCCUGAUGUCUUCGGAUGGAUUUGAGUAAGAGCAUAGCUGUUGGGACCCGAAAGAUGGUGAACUAUGCCUGAAUAGGGUGAAGCCAGAGGAAACUCUGGUGGAGGCUCGCAGCGGUUCUGACGUGCAAAUCGAUCGUCAAAUUUGGGCAUAGGGGCGAAAGACUAAUCGAACCGUCUGGUAGCUGGUUCCUGUCGAAGUUUCCCUCAGGAUAGCAGUAACGUAUUCAGUUUUAUGAGGUAAAGCGAAUGAUUAGAGGCCUUGGGGUUGAAGCGACCUUAACCUAUUCUCAAACUUUAAAUAUGUAAGAAGUCCUUGUUACUUGAUUGAACGUGGACACUUGAAUGCAUCGUUACUAGUGGGCCAUUUUUGGUAAGCAGAACUGGCGAUGCGGGAUGAACCGAACGUGAGGUUAAGGUGCCGGAAUGCACGCUCAUCAGACACCACAAAAGGUGUCAAUGCAUCCAGACAGCCGGACGGUGGCCAUGGAAGUCGGAAUCCGCUUAGGAGUGUGUAACAACUCACCGGCCGAAUGCAUUGGCCCUGAAAAUGGAUGGCGCUUAAGCGUGCUACCUAUACCUCGCCGUUGGGGUUGAAAUGAUGCCCCAACGAGUAGGCAGGCGUGGAGAUUGGUGACGAAGCCUUGGGGGUGACCCCGGGUCGAACAAUCUCUAGUGC